rnacentral:pre_miRNA from 1 species
UAAUCUGUUUAUUACAGCUCCGCAUCUAGUUGUGAGAUAUCUCUAUUUAACUGCUCAAAACUUUCAGUUUCGACUCACUCGACUACAUCACACUGAUAUUACAAAAAAAAAAUUAAUCUCAAUAAUUUUUUUUAUUUAGUUU